rnacentral:rRNA from 1 species
UAGAGUUUGAAUCUGGCUCAGAUUGAACGCUGGCGGCAGGCCUAACACAUGCAAGUCGAGCGGAUGAAGGGAGCUUGCUCCUGGAUUCAGCGGCGGACGGGUGAGUAAUGCCUAGGAAUCUGCCUGGUAGUGGGGGAUAACGUCCGGAAACGGGCGCUAAUACCGCAUACGUCCUGAGGGAGAAAGUGGGGGAUCUUCGGACCUCACGCUAUCAGAUGAGCCUAGGUCGGAUUAGCUAGUUGGUGGGGUAAAGGCCUACCAAGGCGACGAUCCGUAACUGGUCUGAGAGGAUGAUCAGUCACACUGGAACUGAGACACGGUCCAGACUCCUACGGGAGGCAGCAGUGGGGAAUAUUGGACAAUGGGCGAAAGCCUGAUCCAGCCAUGCCGCGUGUGUGAAGAAGGUCUUCGGAUUGUAAAGCACUUUAAGUUGGGAGGAAGGGCAGUAAGUUAAUACCUUGCUGUUUUGACGUUACCAACAGAAUAAGCACCGGCUAACUUCGUGCCAGCAGCCGCGGUAAUACGAAGGGUGCAAGCGUUAAUCGGAAUUACUGGGCGUAAAGCGCGCGUAGGUGGUUCAGCAAGUUGGAUGUGAAAUCCCCGGGCUCAACCUGGGAACUGCAUCCAAAACUACUGAGCUAGAGUACGGUAGAGGGUGGUGGAAUUUCCUGUGUAGCGGUGAAAUGCGUAGAUAUAGGAAGGAACACCAGUGGCGAAGGCGACCACCUGGACUGAUACUGACACUGAGGUGCGAAAGCGUGGGGAGCAAACAGGAUUAGAUACCCUGGUAGUCCACGCCGUAAACGAUGUCGACUAGCCGUUGGGAUCCUUGAGAUCUUAGUGGCGCAGCUAACGCGAUAAGUUCGACCCGCCU